GGGAGUAUGGUGGAACUCGGCAACAUUGUGGGCUCCAAACCCGCCGAUCUGGGUUCAAAUCCCAGUGCUCCCACCA
rnacentral:tRNA from 2 species